CUCUUCCUGUCGCUCCAGCCACGAAAGAUGUGCCGGCUUCCCCUUCACUUUCCGCCAUGACUAAGUUUCCUGAGGCCUCCCCAGUCAUGCUUCCUGUACAGACUACAGAACCGUGAGCCACUUAAACCUCUUUUCCUUAUAAAUCACCCAGUCUCAGAUAGUUCUUUGUAGCAAUAUGAGAACAGACUAAUACAGCAGGGUUUCCCUUUCACUCCCUGACAUCCACCCCCAUAUCUUGAGGCCUGAAAAUGCUCAAAGGGAGGCUACAGGGAUCUGGGGUUGCCUGACUCUGGGACAGCCUGUCCUAAGGAGAAGGGCUCAGCCUCAGCAGGCAGCUGACAUCUGGGCAUUGCAGCUGCUGGCCCCGCAAGGACAGGGCAUGGUCAGACCCUCCAGCUGCGAAGAGGAAGGGGACACUCUGUACUCUGCCUCUAGGACUCCCAUGGGGGCCCAGCACCUCAGUUUACCCCAGAGAUCACCCUUGGGUAGUUUUGGGCCUAUAGAGCAGGGGUCCCCAACCCCUGGGCCUGGACUGGUACCAGUCCAUGGCCUGUUGGGAACCAGGUCUCACAGCAGGAGGUGAGUGGCAGGCAAGUGAGCAUUCCCGCCUGAGCUCCACCUCCUGUCAGAUCAGCAGCAGCAUUAGAUUCUCACAGGAGAUGAAUCCCAUUGUGAACUGUGUACACAAGUGACCUAGGUUUCAUGCUGCUUAUGAUAAUCUAAUGCCUGAUGAUCUGAGGUGGAAUAGUUUCAUCCCAAAAUCAUCCCUCCACCCAACCUGGUCUGUGGAGAAAUUGUCUUCCACAAAACCAAUCUCUGGUGCCAAAAAGGUUGGGGACUGCUGCUAUAUGAGAUGGACAUAGGUUUAUUGGGGCCUGAAGUUUAUAUAAUGGGGUGAGGGCUUUUAAGAAAAAGAAUACAAGGCCGGGUGCAGUGGCUCACCCCUGUAAUCCCAGCACUUUCGGAGGCCAAGGCAGGUGGAUCACCUGAGGUCAGGAGUUCGAGACCAGCCUGGCUAACAUGGUGAAACCCUGUUUCUACUAAAAAUUCAAAAAAUUAGCCAGGUGUGGUGGUGUGAGCCUGGGGCUCAGGAGGCUGAGGCAGGAGACUCACUUGAACCUGGGAGGCGGAGGUUGCAGCGCGCCGAGAUUGUGCCAUUGCACUCCAGCUUGGACAAAAGAGCAAAACUCCAUCUUGAGAAAAACAAAAAAGAAAAAAGAAUACAAAAUGACAAAAUUAUAAAUGCAAAUUUAGUUAUAAAAGUGAACAUUUACUUAAAAUGAGAAAAGAAAUAACACAUUUCAAGCUUAAAAUAGCUUACAAAUACAACAAACUUCAAAACUCCAGAAAAAUUACAUCAAUUUUACUAAGGAACAUUCUUGUGACUAUUUACUUUAUACCCACAGGUUUUGGCCACAUGCUUGCUCCAUUUCUCCAUAAGAUCCUAAUUUGGCAGUAUUUUCCAUCGAGAUAAUCUCUUGUGGUUGGUCAAAGCUUGUUUUCAAGUGUUGACAUUUGAAAGAAGUUUCCCUUUUACUAUUUGUUAUUUGUCAUAUUAUAUAAAUUAUGAAACAGUUGUCAAAUUUGGGGAAACCUCAUCAAAUUGCUUCUAUACUUGAGAUGUGCAGUAUCAAGGCAUUUCCAGGGCUCUUGGACAUAACGCAUGUUGGACGCUCUUUGAAUUGAUGACAUACCUCAACCAGUUGGUCACCAAUGUCCUUGCUGUGUUGAAUAUUGUGAGCUUUCUACUCUCUGUGAUGUCAAAUGUUUUGUGUUAAAUCAGCAGGAAAUUUAAAUAUUUUCCUAGAGUAUUCAUGUGACCCAUUUAUUAAUGGAUUAUCUGAUGAUCCAAGAGUUUAUUUAUUACUUUGAUUUAACAUUUAUCUCCUUUCUUCAUUGCUCCCCUGGGUAUGAUCUGCUACAUGACUGCUGCAUCUGCCUAGCCUGUUGUGAAGGCAGCCAGCAGGGAGCACAUUGCGUCUCAUUUCUGUACAUCCUUCCUUGGCCCCUUCCCUUUUUCCUCCAUCCUCAUCACCCUGGGUUUGCCCCUCUCAAAUAACGUGUUAGUUCCUUAAUUUGUGCUUCUUUCUGCGGGCCUGGGGCUGGGUCCAAUUGGAUGCCUUUCCCCCGUUCCUGGUUUUCAUGAAGGAGAAUGUAUCUGUGAUGUAUUCCUGCUCUUCACUGCUCCAGGAAGGUGGAGUGACUCCCAUGAUAGGCAGAUCUGGGAAAAAUAACUGAGACGACUUGGCCUAGCUGAGACCUUCCCCUUGAGAGAGGCUGCCAGCAGAGGCCUGGCCUGGUCAGGGCUGCUUGGAGCUGGGUAGGCACAUCUUCCUGGACCGCUUCCUUCUCAUUCUCAGCCACAUUCACUACCCUGGCCUCCACCACUCUGAUGGUGAUGUUGAGAGAUUUCAUCUGUUGGCUUCUGUUUUAUUUCAAGUGUUGAGCCCUGGGCCAGCUCCAGAGACCUCAUUCUCCCCAGGGCCUAGUAUGGAGUCCGGGGUCUGGAGCAGAAGAGUCCUGGGACGAGGACUGUUGUUGAUGUAACUUGACAACAGUCAGGGAGAGGCUGUUUUGCAUAGCAACCCCCAAUGUGCAUUCUACCAUCCCAGGCUCUAGAACCCCCCACCAGAAAUCUUCAGCAGGUCCCAGGAAGCAAGAGACCUCAAAGAACUGGCACGCUUUUCAUCCCCUUUGGCCACACCAAUCUGGAACUUUCAGAGUUGCUGUCAGAACCAGAGGCACCCCCUACCAGAAAUGCUGAAAGAGCUCUGAAGGGCAGUUCCACAUUGGGCAGUCAUGAAAGGGUCUGUCCUGGCAGGGGGCCGGGCCAGGAGUCACUGACAGAGGGGUGUGCAUUGAGAAGCUGCCCCUUGGAAUGUGCCUCAGCUGUUACCAGGGCCCCAAAUGCAUGGUGCUGGCCUCCACGGGGCUCCACUCAUCUGACCUAGGACUUCACCUAUAUAUGGGCAUGUACUUUAUUUGGGGGUGAUCCCAGGAAGCACGUCAUGGGGCUAGGGAAGGGAGACAGAGAGGUGAGGAGAGCCAAGAAAAGUGCAUUGAUGAGGGAGUGGCCUCCAUGGACAACUGGAGCUCAGCCCUCCUGGGCACUGGGGGUCCUCAGAGAGACAGUGCAGAGCCCUCCCCAGAACUGUUCCUACAUGGGGCCUUCCUUCACCUAGUCUUCUCCAACAGUGAUUGAGGGUUGCUUUUGUAGGAACAAACUCCCUAGCUUUUCUGGCCUGCCCUGCAAGUGGGCCAGGCUGACUUCUAUGACCAGAGUAAGCUCACAGGCCUGAGCCUCAGGGGUGCAGGGGAACUGUUCAGCAACAGAAACUGAAGCCCUAGGUGGGCCAAGGGGCUGCGAGACACACAGACAGCUGGCAUUGUCGGGAGGACAAGAGCGCCGGGUUACCCAUGCCAGAUUUCCCACUUUUGGGGGUGUCCGGGGCGAGGGGGCUGCUCUUUCUGAAGCUGGUUUUCCCCUGAAAGGGGCACACCCUGUCCCAUUCACUCAUUUAGAACCCGAUGGUUGGUAUGGAAAGGGGAUGUGGAUUUUUCUCCUGUUGCCCCAAAGACAGUUCCCAAGAUAGAGCGACUUCUGAGCAGAUCUCUUCUUCCGCUGCAGAACCUUAUGGCUGUGCGAUUCAUAAUUGGAGUGGUCAUCUCUGACCAAUGCGAUGGGGCUGCUUCCAAGAGCUUAACCAACCAAUUCGUCUGGGGGAAGGAAAUGAAUGCUUUCCUUAAUGUGUGGCUAUCUGGGAGCCGCGGCUGGGCACUGCCUGUGUUAUUAAGGACAAUCAGACUGUUAUUAGUUUAUAUUCCGCCUCUUAAAGGAAAAUCUAUGUGUGCAGAGACCAUGAGGGAACACCUUGCUGCUCAUUUGCUUUCCAAAUCUAUCUGAAUUAUUCAGGCCGGCUAAUGAAUUUGUCUUGUCCGGGGCUCUUCCAUAUUGUCUAGACAGAUUUCAGAGAGUUAAUAGCAGAGUAAAUCCUGCAGUCUGGCGGGCCAGACGAAAAUAGUUGCAUAUAAUUAUGUUGUUUCCUAAAGAGGCGAUUUCCUGGCUGAGACCUGGGGGGUGUGGCCAGGACGCGUGGACAUUUGCAUAUUUCUCACUGGAGCUGAGACACUGGGCAGGGAAAUUCCGACUGAAAUCGUCAGAGUGGAAUUUUUUUUUUUUUUUUUUUUGAGAUGGAGUUUUGCUCUUGGCUGGGGUGCAGUGGUGCUAUCUCGGCUCACUGCAACCUCCACCUCCCGGGUUCAAGUGAUUCUCCUGCCUCCCUCUCCUGCGUAGCUGGAACUACAGGUGCCCGCCACCAUACCUGGCAAAUUUUUUACAUUUUUUGAUAGAGACGGGGUUUUGCCAUGUUGGCCAGGCUGGUCUCAUACUCCUGACCUCAAGUAAUCUGCCCGCCUCGGCCUCCCAAAGUGCUGGGAGGCAUCCCCGAGGAGCACGGAGGAGGAUGAGAGCCGUCAGGUGUCCAGAAACAACUGCAGCAGCCUGGGUUGAGGGUGCUUCCAGCUUGGAAAGAUGUCUGCUUGUCCUCAGUUUCCCCAUCACAUCAAACUGACAGGCAUUCAUCAUGCAGGCACUGGGCUGAAUUCUGGGGAUGCAGAGGCCAUAAGGUGCAGGCGCCAUCACUGCAUUGUCACAGGAGGUUCUGCCCAGGGCUGCCUCGGUGUUGGGUGGUAGCCGCAUCUCUGAGGCAUCCGGAAGCUUGGAGGGGAGGUCAGGGUGCAGGAGGCAGGAAGGGCUGUUCUCGGCCUCGGGAGCAGUGGGACCUGGAAUGAGUCCGGGAGACGUGUCCAAAAGGCCCAGAAAUGUGGGUGUUUCAGGCUGAGCUGCAUCCCUCCAAAAUUCGCAUGUGGAAGUCCUAAGUCUCAGGACCUCAGGAUGUGAUCGCAUUUGGAGAAAGGGUUUUUAAGGAGGUGAUUAAGUUAAAAUGAGGUCAGAAGGGUGGGCUCGGGUCCAACCUGCCUGGAGUCCUCAUAAGAGAUUAGGACACAGGCAUGCACGGGGAAGAUCAAGGGAGGACACGGGGAGACUGUGGCAUCUGCAAGCCAGGAGAGAGGCCUUGGAGGAACCAGCUCUGCCUGCUGGCAGCUGGACAUCGGGCUUCCAGCCUCUGGACUGUGAUGGUGCAUUCUGUGGCGUAGGCCUCCCCAUCUGCAGGACUGUGCUGUGGCAGCCCCAGGAGAUGCGUGCCGUGGGAAUAGGAAGCCCAGCCCUGUGGCCGCGCCAGCACAUUUCACCUCCUCCAUCUCAACCAGAGCCCUUCGGGCCCAUCCAGACUGCAGUUCAAACCCAAGCGUGUCUCCACCUGGACCUAUGCCCACCCUCAGCCCAGAUGAGUUGGGGGCUCCAGGCUGGCGAGACAGCUGAGCGUCUGCCUCCCUCUGCACAGUGCGGGGAUUUCGCCCUGGUGGUUAAGUGGAGUGCUUAGCUCCUAAUUGCUGUAAUGGUGCUCGGGGAGGGUCCUUGUGGUGGGUGGAUCAGGUGUGAGCCCAGAGUAGGCACAGUGGGUGGAGUCAGUGGCCAGCUACGCCCCCACCCCCUCCCCCCCCCUGCAGCAGAUGAAAUACAGCCUUGCCACAGGCCUGCAGGCAGGGCGGAGAGAGUGGGCUGGGCUGCCAGGCCAAUGGUGGCCACCUGGCACCUUCACCCAGUAGCCGGGAGGCAGAGGGUCUCAUUCAUUCAUUCACUCAUCCACCCAUUCAUUCAGGGAAGACACAGGCUGGGGGCUGCUGUGAGCCCCACACUCUACAGGGCACUUUGCACAGAUCGACUCAGUUUAUUUUUCUGAUGGGCCUUGGGGGCAUUCACUUCAUGUCACAGAUGAUGCAAAUCGGGCCAAGGGAAGCUAAGUCACUUGUCGAAGAUCUCCUGGCAAGAGGAGCUGGACUCAAGCACCAGCAGCUUGGGUGGCUCCAGAGACUGUGUUCCCAGUGACCAGGCAGCACAGCCUCAGCCAGGCAGGCGAGACCCUGCAGACAGGCGAUGAGGGUCUGCAGUAGCCCGGCCUCUGUCCUGAAAGGCUGGAGCUCAGGGAGGUAGGAAGUGAGGAGGCGCCCAGGAGCCAUGCCCAGAACUCCCGCCUUCCAGCUCAUGGCCCACCUCCUGCAUGUUCUUACCUGGGCCUGGGAUCCACCGGUGUUUCCAGCCCCAGAGAGGAGCAGCUGUGGAAGGCUGGGCCCUGGGGCUGCACUGGGAGGCCUGGGCGCUGAGUCCCCCAGUGGAUGGUCCAGCUUCAGGGCCUUUGGCCACGCUGCCUCCCCUGAUGCCCUCCCUGACCACCGGCUGCAGCACCGCUCCCUCUGAAACCAUGCACGCGAUGUACUGCUAGGUAUUUCCUUGCUUACUCAUUGCUGUCUUUCUCCUUCGCAAAGCACGAAAGUUCUGCCAGAGCACAGCCGCUGCCCGUCUUGUUCUCUGGCAUCAUCCAGGCCAGGACGGCACCCAGAUCAGGCUGACGUCCAGCACAGCUACACAGUACAGACUCCCAUCCCAUGUGAGUGCCGAGGGCACUGCUAGGUGGAGCAUGUCCCACCCUAUCCUGACUGACACGGGGUUGCUUCCUAAGGCAGGGGGCUAAAGGCGGUGUCACAGAGCAGAAACUGCGCACCAAGAGCACAGCCAGGCUGUCAUCCCCACCAUCUUCCCAGGGAGCCGGGCCCUCACCCUGAAGUCCGCUGAACAAAGCUUUUAGCCUCCCAAUAGGUGUUUGCUGAUCUCAAGCUCCACAGGGCCGUGCUUCCCCUCCUGGUGAAUCAAUUACUUUCCUAGCACUGUGAGGGCCCUUUGUACAGAAUUAAGUGAAUAACAUGUGCUUUGAAAUGUCUUGGACAUAGUCGAUGCCAGGCCUUCCGUUGGCAUUUCCCUCUGUGCUUGCUGUUAAUGAAGCCGGUGAAGUGGCCUUCCAGUGUGGCCCUGGCGGGGCACGCAGUCUCGGUGAAUUAGACGCAGCAGCAGGCGGACACCGUGCCAGCUUCCUGAGCAGUCUCCAAAUGGGCAUUCGCCAGUUUUACCUCCUGCUGCUGGAUUUAGGAGUUAAAUUGAGGUUUUCUUUUUUCCAGGUUUUCAGUUACCGCCCCCCCCCCCCAUUGUCUCAAGCCUCUAAACAAAAUUGAGAGCUAAACAAAUUACAAAGUUUUAUGAAAGCCCUUUUUGAACAUUCCUAAGCAGGAAAGGAUGGAGGGAGAAAAGGAAGCAGCGCAGGGAGAGAUGUCUGCAGACGGAGGAGGAGCCUGGGGCUUGCAGCACCUCCCAGACGGGCCUGCGUGGGGAAGCCCAGGAGGACCCUGAGCAGGAACCUGGGGAGCAGGGGUGCAGAAUCGCAUGUGUCACCCCUUCUAAAGAGGCCCCAGUGAGCAACUGCAGGGGCUGGAUGGGUCCUAUGAGUGCAGGCUGGGCAGGGGGAGGGUGGAGUGGGCUGGGGCCUUGGGGCCUUGCAGCUGUGGGCUAGGUUCUCUGAAGGAGCAGAGGGUGGUCCCGCCGUGAGGGCUGAGCCUUAGGAAGAGCUGGCAGCAAGUGCAGGUUGAGCUUCAGAAACAACUCUCCCCAGCUCUACCACACCUUCCUUCCUAGCUAGCCGGGUACAGUGGUCCGCCUGCCCCCUGCCCAGUCCCUGAUGGCACCGGAGUCCUUUGCAGGCCAUGACUCUUGCUUACGUCCACCCUCCUCCCAGGGGAAGGGAGUGAGCAUGGGUCAGGCCCUCCAUGUGCUGUAUUACCCGGUAGGCACAGCCGGCUCCCACAGUUCGCAGAGCUCAUGUCUCUUGCUGGAGCCACUGGAUCCAAAUCCAGGCCCGUGCCUCCGUGCCCAAGCUCCGACUCCCAUCUCACAGACACUCAGUAAAGGCUGAAUGAAUCAACAGAUGCACCAGCAGCAUGUUUUCAUGAGAGUCGUUGUGAAAAGCUGGUCUUCUUUAAUUCAUGACUCGCCCAUAAUUGCCAUUCUAGUGCGCUGCGUGCCGCCGUCUGUGAUGGGCUUUCUAGACAAUUUUGGCGCCAGCAGCCUAAUGUGGGCACGCUGUGCCUGCGCACCCAGGGGCCCGAGUGCCCCAUCCAUCAGCCUGCCUCCUGCAGCCCCGGCCGCCCGGAUCAAUACCCUCUCCCACACCCAGGCCAGUGCUGCACCCUCAGCCUGCCCCUCAUGGUGGGCCACCCUCCCUGGCGCACGACGCACCUGGCUUGUUCCCAAGGUGCCGGCAUUUCCUUUGUGCUGGACUAGGGGUCUCAGAAAGGGCCCACCCGUCGUGCUGGUCAGGGACCAGGCACGUGGCCCCUCUGCAACCUGACCCCCAUGGACAUCCCGGGCCUGCCUUCCCCCAGCCCCCUCCUCUUUCUACCAUGCACUCCACCUCCUGCUUGCUGCGCUGCCCUCAGCCCCCACGGCUCAAAGCUCUGCUCCGUCCCUGGGGAAUUUGUGCUUCCAGACUCAGCCCCUUUCAUUGGAGGUGUCUCCUGGGGAGGCAUCCCCGUCUCCAAGGUGAGCCCUGCCCUGCCAGUCCCAGAAGCACUCACCACUCCUCCAAAUGUCUAUGCAGCUUCAGCCUGUCUGGGUCCCCAGUGCCCGGAAGCAGGACUCAGUGUUGAGGAAUGACCACAGCAGCCAGUGUGGGUGGGGCUUGGGGUGGCCCACAGUCAGAGCCCACGGAUUCAUCCUCCAGCAGCACACAGCUUGCAGGGAGUGAAGGGAGGCCCAGCGACAGCUAACUGUGUUCUUGUCCCCAAAAGAUAAUUGAGUUUCCCCAGAAGAGAUCUUCAACCCCCAUACCCAAGAAUGUGAUCUUAUUUGGAAUGACAGUCUCUGUAAAUGUCGUCAAAUUAAGAUGAGGUCACACUGGAUGGUGUCCUUAGAGGAAGAGAAGAGAGAUACACAGGAGACAAGUCCGAGUGAGGGCAGAGGCAAAGGCUGGAGUGGUGCUGCUGCCAGCCAAGGAGUGCCAAGGAUGGAUGACUGCAUCCAGGUGGGUGACAUAAAGGAGGAGCCCCCGUUGGAGCCAACAGAGGGAGCAUGGCACUGCCAACAUGGUGAUUUUGGACUUCAGACCUUCAGACGAUUUAACAAUACUCACUUAUUCAACAAGUAUUUACUGGGCACCUAUUACAUACCUGGUUCUGACAUUGGUCUAUUAGUCAGCCAUGAACAAAACAGAACUUCCUGCCCUGUGGAACUUGGAGGGAGACACUGCACAAAGAAAUAGUUUCUGCAUGGGGUGGAGGAGUCUGUGGCAGGCCCAGUACACAGUCAUCUGUCUGAAGGCACAGGAAUGGCACAGAAGCAACAGGACUAAGAAGGCUGUGAUCUCCAAAAGCAGAGGCCUGUGUAAUGGACAGGUCACCACCUCCAGCACAUUUUCCCAGGGGAAUUUGCUGAUUCUCAGCAGAAGCAAGAUACUGAGAAGAUGUCCCAGGAGGGAGGCUCUGCUGGGGCAGGGAGGGCCAAAAAGCUACUAGAGCUUCUGGUGUGUGUGCAGAGGCAGUGACAAAAUCAAAAGCCUUAGGGCUUCACCAGCACAGACAGUUCCCCAGUCAAGCCAUUUGCUGGGUUCCGAAGCUGCCUGGGGAGUGGGCAGAAAGGCUGAAAAGCCAGGCCAAGGCUUCUGAAAAGCAAAAUGGAAUUUCCAUCAUUCUUGAGGUUAAAGGGGCAAAGAUUCACCAGGGUGAGUGAGUCAGUGAACACAGCAAGCUCUCAGGUGAAGACCCAGAGGGCUACUCUAGGAGAAAGGGGUGAACCAGAGGCAGGCUGAACCUCACCAAAUCUGGAACCUAGCCUAAUACUUAGCUCCUACGAUGAUCCACUCCACGCUCUAUCUGCCUAGCAGAGGAAAUGAGGAACUCCUUCUGGUAGAAAAUAAAGCCCACAUGGAACCUCUAUAAUCUUUAUAUAAAAUAUCUGCCAAUAAAUAAAAAAUUAUUAGGAUGCCAAGAGACAGAAUGAUAUGAAUGAAAGCUGAGGAGGGAAGCAUAAUAGAAACAGACACAACAUUUAUCCUGAUACUGGUGCUGGCUGUCAAAGAUUUUAAAGUAACUAUCAUUAAUAGAUACUUGAAAAGAGUUCAUUAUGCAACAAUAGAUUUUUAAAGGGAUAUUUCAAAAGAAUUAGAAUCUAUAAAAACAAAUAUAAAUUUAAAAAUGAAAAGUCUAAAGUUAGUAAUUCAAUAGAUGGAAUAAUAGUACAGUAGACACAGCAGAAGGCAGGAUUAGAGAAAUGGAAGACAGGUCAACAGAGAAUACCUAAAUUAUUUCACAUAGAGAAAAAAUAAUGGAAAAUGCAUAAAAGAGCAUAGGGGACAUGGAGGACAAUAUACAGAUGUCUCAUAUACUUGUAACUGGAGUUCCAGAAGGAGAAAAGACAGAGAAUAGGUGCUACUGACUGGAUUGUCUCCCUGCCCCAGUUCACAUGCUAAAGCCUUAAACCCCAAUGUGAUGGUAUUUGGAGAUGAGGCCUUUGAGAAGUAAUUAGAUCUUAAUGGUGGAGCCCUCAUGAUGGCAUUAAUGCCAUUAUAAGAAGAAACACAACAAAUCUCUCUCUUCCCACCAUGUGGUGAUGCAGCAAGAAGACAGCCAAAUGCAAACCACCAGAAGGGCCCUCACCAGGAAUCAAAUGGGCCAGCACCUUGUCUUGGACCUCCCACCCUCCAGAACUGUGAGAAAUAGAUGUCUGUUGCUUAAGCUAUCUAGUUUAUGGCACUUUGUUACACCAGCCAAGCAAACUGAGACAAUCAUGGAGAAGAGAAUUUGAAAAAAUAUCGGCAUAAAAUUUUCUAAGUUAGUUGUAAGAAAUAAACUCACAAAUUCAAAAGGCUCUGCAAAUCCUAACCUUUUUGUUUUGGUAUUUCCAGGAGAAAUACAAAAGAACAAAAUGAAGCCAACUACACUUAGACACAUCAUAGUAAAACUGCUGAGGGGAGAAAAAGACAAAAAAAGGCAGAGAAAAAUAUUUUUAAAAAAUACAAUGAGAAAAUCUUAAACACGUCCAGGAGGGAAAAUAAUACAUUAUACACAUUACCUUUAGGAAAACAGUUAGGAGAAAACAAACUGAUGUCUCAAGAAAACCUUAGAAACUAGAAGACAAUAGAAUGACCUUUUAAAAGCACUGAAAGGAAUGACAUGUCAACCUUGAAUUCUAUAGCCGGACAAACUAUCCUUUAAAAUAAAAGUGCAAUACUCUUUUAGACAAACAACAAUUGUUGUUUUCUUUGUCACUGGCAUAUUUGCACCAAAAGAAAUACUCAGGCCAGGCGUGGUGGCUCACACCUGUAAUCCCAGCACUUUGAGAGGCCAAGGCAGGCGGAUCACCUGAGGUCAGGAGUUCAAGACCAGCCCUGCCAACAUGGUGAAACCCCGUCUCUACUAAAAACACAAAAAUUAGCCAGGCGUGGUGGCAGGCACCUGUGAUCCCAGCUACUCAGGAGGCUGAGGCAGGAGAAUGGCUUGAACCCGGGAGGUGGAGGCUGCAGAAAGCUGAGAUUGCACCACUGCACUCCAGCCUGGGUGACAGAGUGAGACUCUGUCUCAAAAAAAAAAAAAAAAGAAAAAGAGUGGGGUAGACUGGGCACAGUGUCUCAUGCGUAUAAUCCCAGUACUUUGGGAGGCUGAGGCAGAAGGAUCACUUGAGUCCAGGAGUUCAAGACCAGCCUGGGAAAGUUGGUGAGACACUAUCUCUUCAAAAAAUUUAAAAAUUAGCCAGGCGUGGUGGUGCACACCUGUGGUCCCAGCUACACAGCAGGCUGAGGCAGGAGGGUCUCUUGAGCUGGGGAAAUUGAGGCUGCAGUGAGCCAUGUUUGUGCCACCACAAUCCAGCCUGAGUGACAGA